rnacentral:rRNA from 1 species
CCUACGGGCGGCAGCAGUGGGGAAUAUUGGACAAUGGGGGGAACCCUGAUCCAGCCAUGCCGCGUGUGUGAAGGAGGCCCUCGGGUUGUAAAGCACUUUCAGUGAGGAAGAACGCCUGGUGGUUAAUACCCAUCAGGAAAGACAUCACUCACAGAAGAAGCACCGGCUAACUCCGUGCCAGCAGCCGCGGGAAUACGGAGGGUGCGAGCGUUAAUCGGAAUUACUGGGCGUAAAGCGCGCGUAGGUGGCUUGAUAAGCCGGUUGUGAAAGCCCCGGGCUCAACCUGGGAACGGCAUCCGGAACUGUCAAGCUAGAGUGCAGGAGAGGAAGGUAGAAUUCCCGGUGUAGCGGUGAAAUGCGUAGAGAUCGGGAGGAAUACCAGUGGCGAAGGCGGCCUUCUGGACUGACACUGACACUGAGGUGCGAAAGCGUGGGUAGCAAACAGGAUUAGAUACCCCUGUAGUC